GAAACUUAAAGGAAUUGGCGGGGGAGCACUACAACGGGUGGAGCCUGCGGUUUAAUUGGACUCAACGCCGGAAAACUCACCUGGGGCGACAGCAAUAUGUAGGUCAGGCUGAAGGUCUUACCUGAAUCGCUGAGAGGAGGUGCAUGGCCGUCGUCAGUUCGUACUGUGAAGCAUCCUGUUAAGUCAGGCAACGAGCGAGACCCGUGCCCACUGUUGCCAGCAUAUCCUUCGGGAUGAUGGGUACUCUGUGGGGACCGCUGGUGCUAAACCAGAGGAAGGUGCGGGCUACGGUAGGUCAGUAUGCCCCGAAUCUCCAGGGCUACACGCGGGCAACAAUGACCGGGACAAUGGGCUCCUACCCCGAAAGGGGUUGGUAAUCUCAUAAACCCGGCCUUAGUUCGAAUUGAGGGCUGCAACCUCGCCCUCAUGAAGCUGGAAUCCGUAGAAAUCGCGUUUCAAUAUAGCGCGGGGGAAUACGUCCCUGCUCCUUGCAAACACCGCCCGUCAAAACCACCCCGAGUGAGGUAUGGGUGGAGGGCACGGACCUAGUGCCGUGUUCGAACCUAAAUUUCGCAAGGGGGGGUUAAGUCGUAACAA
rnacentral:rRNA from 1 species